UACGUAGGGUGCGAGCGUUAAUCGGAAUUACUGGGCGUAAAGCGUGCGCAGGCGGUUUUGCAAGGCAGAUGUGAAAUCCCCGGGCUCAACCUGGGAACUGCAUUUGUGACUGCAUGGCUGGAGUGCGGCAGAGGGGGAUGGAAUUCCGCGUGUAGCAGUGAAAUGCGUAGAUAUGCGGAGGAACACCGAUGGCGAAGGCAAUCCCCUGGGCCUGCACUGACGCUCAUGCACGAAAGCGUGGGGAGCAAACAGG
rnacentral:rRNA from 1 species